GACGAACGCUGGCGGCGUGCUUAACACAUGCAAGUCGAACGGAAAGGCCUCUUUCGGGGGGUACUCGAGUGGCGAACGGGUGAGUAACACGUGAGUAACCUGCCCUUGACUUUGGGAUAACUUCAGGAAACUGGGGCUAAUACCGGAUAGGAGCUCCUGCUGCAUGGUGGGGGUUGGAAAGUUUCGGCGGUUGGGGAUGGACUCGCGGCUUAUCAGCUUGUUGGUGGGGUAGUGGCUCACCAAGGCUUUGACGGGUAGCCGGCCUGAGAGGGUGACCGGCCACAUUGGGACUGAGAUACGGCCCAGACUCCUACGGGAGGCAGCAGUGGGGAAUAUUGCACAAUGGGCGGAAGCCUGAUGCAGCAACGCCGCGUGCGGGAUGACGGCCUUCGGGUUGUAAACCGCUUUCGCCUGUGACGAAGCGUGAGUGACGGUAAUGGGUAAAGAAGCACCGGCUAACUACGUG
rnacentral:rRNA from 1 species